rnacentral:lncRNA from 1 species
AUCUUUUCAACCCACCAGCCAGUGCCAUUGUUAGUGCCGCAUACUCCCUUCCAUUCCUCACACGACUUGGUCUCGUCCUCAUCCAAUGCCUUCUUGUAUGACCUUUUCUUUUGUCCCCUUCUACAAACAAUUUGAGAUCUUUGCUGUCACACGCUCUGUCUCGUCCCAACUCCACCAAAGCACGCAGCAUUAGAAUUCAAACCACCACCAUCUACACUCCAUCCAAUGAAGAUACUACUCCACACCCAACACUCAGAGAGGUUCCAAAAGAGUGAUGGCACAUGGGGAAGCAGGCC